GUGCUCGUUUCGGCAGCACAUAUACUAAACUUGGAAUGAUAGAGAUUAGCAUGACCCCUGUGCAAGGAUGACACACAAAUUCGUGAAGCGUUCUGUAUUUUU
ensembl:snRNA U6 U6 spliceosomal RNA